rnacentral:lncRNA from 1 species
UAAUUGCUUCUUCCAAGAGAUGUGGAGUAUCCAUCUGAAUACCUGCAGUGAAUGAGCGAUUCCCACCUUCAGAUCAAACCUAAAGGGAUCAAGAGAAGAACUUCCGUACAGAGGGAGGGUGAUUCCCACCAAGGGGAAACGAGAACUUCUGGUCAGAUUUCAGAGGGCAAUUCCCACCAGAGGGCGAUUCUGCUCGCAAGGGAAGAACUUGGUUGGCGUUGUCUCCGGUUACAGAAGAACUUCUGCACGCAAGGGAACGAGGGUUUGGGGAAAGAUUUCCGUCGAGAGUAAAAGGAGAGUAAAAAAAUGAGAUUUGGAAUUUUUGAAAGUAAAAAAAAUGAGAAAAUG